rnacentral:rRNA from 1 species
UAGUUGGUGAGGUAAUGGCUCACCAAGGCAAUGACGCCUAACUGGUUUGAGAGGAUGAUCAGUCACACUGGAACUGAGACACGGUCCAGACUCCUACGGGAGGCAGCAGUGGGGAAUAUUGCACAAUGGAGGGAACUCUGAUGCAGCAACGCCGCGUGGAGGAUGACACUUUUCGGAGCGUAAACUCCUUUUAUAUAGGAAGAUAAUGACGGUACUAUAUGAAUAAGCACCGGCUAACUCCGUGCCAGCAGCCGCGGUAAUACGGAGGGUGCAAGCGUUACUCGGAAUCACUGGGCGUAAAGAGCGUGUAGGCGGGUUAAUAAGUCAGAUGUGAAAGCCUAUGGCUCAACCAUAGAACUGCAUUUGAAACUGUUAACCUAGAAUAUGGGAGAGGUAGAUGGAAUUUCUGGUGUAGGGGUAAAAUCCGUAGAGAUCAGAAGGAAUACCGAUUGCGAAGGCGAUCUACUGGAACAUUAUUGACGCUGAGACGCGAAAGCGUAGGAGCAAAACAGGAUUAGAUACCCUGGUAGUCCACGCCCUAAAACGAUGUACACUAGUUGUUGCGAUGCUAGACAUUGCAGUAAUGCAGUUAACACAUUAAGUGUACCGCCUGGGGAGUACGGUCGCAAGAUUAAAACUCAAAGGAAUAGACGGGGACCCGCACAAGCGGUGGAGCAUGUGGUUUUAAUUCGACGAUACGCGAAGAACCUUACCUGGGCUUGACAUAGUAAGAACAAUUUAGAGAUAGAUUGGUGUCUGCUUGCAGAAACUUAUAUACAGGUGCUGCACGGCUGUCGUCAGCUCGUGUCGUGAGAUGUUGGGUUAAGUCCCGCAACGAGCGCAACCCACGUCGUUAGUUGCUAACAGUUCGGCUGAGAACUCUAACGAGACUGCCUGGGCAACCAGGAGGAAGGUGUGGACGACGUCAAGUCAUCAUGGCCCUUACGUCCAGGGCUACACACGUGCUACAAUGGGGUAUACAAAGAGCAGCGAUACCGCGAGGUGGAGCAAAUCUCAAAAAUACCUCCCAGUUCGGAUAGCACUCUGCAACUCGAGUGCUUGAAGUUGGAAUCGCUAGUAAUCGUAGAUCAGCAACGCUACGGUGAAUACGUUCCCGGGUCUUGUACUCACCGCCCGUCACACCAUGGGAGUUGAACUCAUUCGAAGCGGGGAUGCUAAGAUAGCUACCCUCCACAGUGGAUUCAGCGACUGGGGUG